GUAGGUGGCAAGCGUUGUCCGGAAUUAUUGGGCGUAAAGCGCGCGCAGGCGGUUCUUUAAGUCUGAUGUGAAAGCCCACGGCUCAACCGUGGAGGGUCAUUGGAAACUGGAGAACUUGAGUACAGAAGAGGAAAGCGGAAUUCCACGUGUAGCGGUGCAAUGCGUAGAGAUGUGGAGGAACACCAGUGGCGAAGGCGGCUUUCUGGUCUGUAACUGACGCUGAGGCGCGAAAGCGUGGGGGAGCAAACAGGAUUAGAUACCCUGGUAGUCCACGCCGUAAACGAUGAGUGCUAAGUGUUAGGGGGUUUCCGCCCCUUAGUGCUGCAGCUAACGCAUUAAGCACUCCGCCUGGGAGUACGGCCGCAAGGCUG
rnacentral:rRNA from 1 species